AUUGAACGCUGGCGACAUGCCUUACACAUGCAAGUCGAACGGUAACAGGUCUUCGGAUGCUGACGAGUGGCGAACGGGUGAGUAAUACAUCGGAACGUGCCUAGUAGUGGGGGAUAACUACUCGAAAGAGUGGCUAAUACCGCAUGAGAUCUACGGAUGAAAGCAGGGGAUCGCAAGACCUUGUGCUACUAGAGCGGCCGAUGGCAGAUUAGGUAGUUGGUGGGAUAAAAGCUUACCAAGCCGACGAUCUGUAGCUGGUCUGAGAGGACGAUCAGCCACACUGGGACUGAGACACGGCCCAGACUCCUGCGGGAGGCAGCAGUGGGGAAUUUUGGACAAUGGGCGCAAGCCUGAUCCAGCAAUGCCGCGUGCAGGAUGAAGGCCUUCGGGUUGUAAACUGCUUUUGUACGGAACGAAAAGCCCUGGGUUAAUACCCUGGGGUCAUGACGGUACCGUAAGAAUAAGCACCGGCUAACUACGUGCCAGCCGCCGCAGUAA
rnacentral:rRNA from 1 species